rnacentral:rRNA from 1 species
GGCUCAGAUUGAACGCUGGCGGAAUGCUUUACACAUGCAAGUCGAACGGUAGAGGGGGCAACCCCUUGAGAGUGGCGAACGGGUGAGUAAUAUAUCGGAACGUGCCCAGUCGUGGGGGAUAACGUAGCGAAAGUUACGCUAAUACCGCAUACGAUCUACGGAUGAAAGCGGGGGACUCGCAAGAGCCUCGCGCGAUUGGAGCGGCCGAUAUCAGAUUAGGUAGUUGGUAGGGUAAAGGCCUACCAAGCCAACGAUCUGUAGCUGGUCUGAGAGGACGACCAGCCACACUGGAACUGAGACACGGUCCAGACUCCUACGGGAGGCAGCAGUGGGGAAUAUUGCACAAUGGGGGAAACCCUGAUGCAGCCAUGCCGCGUGUGUGAAGAAGGCCUUCGGGUUGUAAAGCACUUUCAGCGAGGAGGAAAGGUUGAUGCCUAAUACGCAUCGGCUGUGACGUUACUCGCAGAAGAAGCACCGGCUAACUCCGUG